rnacentral:rRNA from 1 species
CAGAGGGGGACAACAGUUGGAAACGACUGCUAAUACCGCAUACGAUCUAAUCUCGGCAUCGAGGAAAGAUGAAAGGUGGCCUCUAUUUAUAAGCUAUCACUGAAGGAGGGGAUUGCGUCUGAUUAGCUAGUUGGAGGGGUAACGGCCCACCAAGGCGAUGAUCAGUAGCCGGUCUGAGAGGAUGAACGGCCACAUUGGGACUGAGACACGGCCCAGACUCCUACGGGAGGCAGCAUG